GGGAAUCACUUGCCAGUGGAGAACCCGCCGCUCCGGGGGGGCUCUUUCCGCUCCUGCCAGGCGGAGAUGAAGCGCCCUAAAACUACACAGCAGCAAAGCAUACCUCAGGGAGCAAACGCGGCUCGAGUGCCCGCAAGCUCUGUGAAAUAUCAGUCGUUUCCUACAUGUAUUGUCUGUGGCCAUCUUAUCUCACUGCGCUCUGAUAGCAAAAGAGGAAUUCCGGUCGAGCUUCUUAAUCCAUAAAAGGUUGAAUCCGGCUUUCUACCAGACUUUGGAACCUGGCUGCAGGGAUUUGCUCCCAUUCAUCCACAAGAGCAUCAGUGAGGUCCAACACUGAUGUUGGGUGAUAAGGCCUGGCUCGCAGUCGGCACUCAUCCCUGCUCAUCUCAAAGGUGUUGGAUGGUGUUGAGAUCAGGACUCUGUGCAGCAAUCUGCAGCCACCACAGCGGUGAAUCCAGACCUUCUGUCCAGGCUGCAGCCAAGUCAUCACAUCGAGCUUCAAGCUGAAAUUGGAUCAUCAGUGUUGGGAAAGUUACUUGACUCAAUACCAGUUAUUCAAUAGCACUCCCCUGCCAUGUCCUCACAGUGAAAGUGCAGGCUUCACAUAGGCCUACCCUCCAUCUCUGAACAAACCCACUUCAUUCCUAAAUUUAGGCUUACCAGUGGCUAACGUUAGCAGGCCAGCUGAGAACACACGACAUAUAAAUAAGACGACUUUGGCGUUACCGGGAGUCGCAUUUCUCCUCUUUUGGUCGAGGGUAGCCGCUCCAGCGCUCCAGCUCCUGCGCCAAGCUAAUACAUCCUGGACCGGCCGCCCGGAGGGGAAACGUUCCUCUCUGCUAAUGUAUAAUCACUGGGGGAAUAAAUGGCAGGAGUGUUUGACAGAGACAUUAAACACACACACACACACAUUAAUGUGACAGAGUGGUUGACAGAGCAGCUAAGGCCACACUGAUAGCCCAGUGUCAGUGGGAAAACCCUUUAAAUGUUCUCCCAGUGCCUGAACGCAAAGAAUAAUGAGACACACAUGCACAUAUUGCCACCCACACACACACUUUGAAUAUACAUGUACAUACACAUAUAGUGCACGAGAAGCGAUGAACGGCUGGCACAUCAGCACAUCGACACACACACACAUGCUGUCAUGCCAUAAUGAAAACUAUGACUAAUGAGGCCAUCCCCCAUUUUACAGGCCAUAUUUAUUGUGUCCCUUGUCACCAGCCGUAGAUCAUCUGCUGCCACUGCCACAUCCUGACAGAUUAACUGUGUGUUGUCAUGCUAAUUCACAUCACAGAUGCAGAGGUUUACCAGAGUUACCUAACCUGGAAUCAUGACUUGUGUGUAUGAGCAUGUGUCUGUAAGGCUGGAUUAACAACGGGGGAAAUGUGUCAUCUGAUUUGUGCAAAUUGAAUCAGCUGUUUUGGAAUAUGCAGCACUAAAGUAUUAGGUAUAGGGAUUUUAAGGUGGGUCCUGCUUUAACACCUAAUGUUGAAGCCCUGUCUUGAUGAGUGUUCUUGUGUCGAAAUUUAGUUCCAAGACCAUUACUGUUUCAGUAUUGUGCUUACAUGUUAAAUAUUCCUAAAAAACUUGAUGCAACAUUUACUGGUAAUUUAUGUAGAACAUAAAUUACCAGUAAAUGUUGUUACUGGUAAUUUAUGUUCUACAGCCUCAUUUGUUGGGGCCACCAAACAUAAAAUUACAGUUACCUGUUUAUUAUUGCAUUUAUCCUAAAAUGCCUUUUUUCACAACCUAUAAACUUCAUGUGGGUAGAGAUGUACAGAGCAAAACACUAUAACUGGAUCUAUGUCAAACCUGUCCUGCUCUUCUAAGAAUACAGAUUGUUCUGGGGUUUGUUAAAUCCUACCCAUGAAGAUGUAAACCGACUGGCUGUGUGCUGUUGGACUGCCAUGUACCUACAGUAGUUUCAGUAGUAAUGGCACUUUCCCGAUUAAUGUUUGCUUUUUUUAGCACAUGCCGACUCCCAGAUGGUAGACCAACCAUGUAUGUUGUACUUGAACAGAGCUUUAGGUUUGCAUUCUUCUGUAGGCCCCUCCAACUAAAUGCACGUUUGUGUAUUUAGUGAGUGAGCGAGUUUAACAAAAGGUCAACAGAUCGUCAUUUUUUGAGAUAGUGAAUGUUGAACUGUAGGUCACUAUGAUUUUGUUUC